rnacentral:rRNA from 1 species
AUACGGAGGGGGUUAGCGUUGUUCGGAAUUACUGGGCGUAAAGCGCACGUAGGCGGACUGGAAAGUUGGGGGUGAAAUCCCGGGGCUCAACCCUGGAACUGCCUCCAGAACUAACAGUCUAGAGUUCGAGAGAGGUGAGUGGAAUUCCAAGUGUAGAGGUGAAAUUCGUAGAUAUUUGGAGGAACACCAGUGGCGAAGGCGGCUCACUGGCUCGAUACUGACGCUGUGGUGCGAAAGCGUGGGGAGCAAACAGGAUUAGAUACCCGGGUAGUCC